rnacentral:rRNA from 1 species
UACAGAGGGUGCAAGCGUUGUUCGGAAUUAUUUGGCGUAAAGCGCGUGUAGGCGGCUUAGCAAGUCGGGCGUGAAAGCCCUCGGCUCAACCGAGGAAGUGCACCCGAAACUGCUGAGCUUGAGUGCCGGAGAGGAUGGCGGAAUUCCCCAAGUAGAGGUGAAAUUCGUAGAUAUGGGGAGGAACACCGGUGGCGAAGGCGGCCAUCUGGACGGUAACUGACGCUGAGACGCGAAAGCGUGGGGAGCAAACAGG